CAUGGAGGGUGAGAAUCCCGUCCGGCUGACCUUCAGGACGUUUUACGAUACGCUCUCAAAGAGUCGAGUUGUUUGGGAUUGCAGCUCAAAAUGGGAGGUAAAUUUCUCCUAAGGCUAAAUACCGGCGAGAGACCGAUAGCGAACAAGUACCGUGAGGGAAAGAUGAAAAGAAUUUUGAAAAGAAAGUCAAACAGUACGUGAAAUUGUUGAAAGGGAAACGAUUGAAGCCAGUCGUACCGACGGGAAUUCAACUUCUCGAGUGCUAAUCGUGGGUGACGUUGAGCCUCACGGCCUUCGUUGCUUGUGUUGUUGGUGCUUUUGGGGUGUACUUUUCCGUAUUGGUAGGUCAGCAUCGAUUUCGAUCGUCAUAAAAUGAUCGGGGGAAUGUAGCUUCGGUCUCGUAUCGGAGUGUUAUAGACCUUGGUAGAUGUGACGAUUGGGAUCGAGGAUUGCAACGAAUACCUUCUGGGCUAUCCGUCUGACCUCUGAAAGUCGCUCGGGUGUCGAAAGCGUGCUUAUGGCUAUUCGAGUUGGCGGUCAAUAGGUUAGAACGUGAUUACAUUCGUUAAGGAUGUUGACGUAAUGG
rnacentral:rRNA from 1 species